rnacentral:rRNA from 1 species
CUAGUAAUCGUAGGUCAGCAUACUACGGUGAAUACGUUCCCGGGCCUUGUACACACCGCCCGUCAAACCAUGAGAGUUGGCAACACCCGAAGUCGGUAGUCUAACCGCAAGGAGGACGCCGCCGAAGGUGGGGUUGAUGAUUAGGGUUAAGUCGUAACAAGGUAGC